CAACUAACAGUACAGAAAAACAUGCAUUCCUAUCUCACCAAGUUGGCUUUCUUGGAAGACAUCAGGACCCUACUCAAGGAGGAUGGAAAGACCUGCUAGAAAUAAACAAGUCUCCUCAGAGGAAGAAGAGAGAACAUAUACUGGAGGAAGUGAGGACCAUGACAAAAGAGGUGCUCAAGAAAUUAUCCAUAUAUAUUAUGUACAUCUCCUAGUAAAAGAAAUGGCAAAAAGUUCAGGAUA